CCCUUAGACGUUCUGGGCCGCACGCGCGCUACACUGACGAAGGCAACGAGCUUUCCUUUACCGAAAGGUACGGGUAAUCUUUUGAAACUUCGUCGUGCUGGGGAUAGAUCCUUGCAAUUUUUGAUCUUAAACGAGGAAUGCCUAGUAAGCGCAAGUCAUCAACUUGCGUUGAUUACGUCCCUGCCCUUUGUACACACCGCCCGUCGCUACUACCGAUUGAAUGGUUUAGUGAGGCCUUCGGAUCCGUGACUCGUUUUGUGGAGAAGUUGGACAAACUCAGUCAUUUAGAGGAAGUAAAAGUCGUAACA
rnacentral:rRNA from 1 species